UUAAGCUCUGACAUUGCAGGACGAUCUCCCAUCCCCUGACCGCAACAGCAUGGACCAAAUAAGUGACAAAGGAAAUAUGGAAUGUGCUUGCCAACCUGGCCUCCGGACAUUAAUGGCAGAGUACUCAAGAGAAGAAAAAGACGUGGCAAAUUUCCUACUAGAAAUGGCGUCACGGACAAGGCCUACAGAAAGCAAGGCUGCCCAAGUGUGCGUCGGGUACUUUUCCACAGAAGUUUGUGAACACGAUAAAUAGUAGCAACGUAAAUACAUUCACAGGCCUGCCAUCAUUCGAUGUUCUGAAUGCUCGUGUGACGUGCUACACAAAAAUUCAUCCACUUUCAGGACGGCACCAGUUAUGUGUAAAAACAAUUGCAUUGACAUUGGUGAAAUUGAAGCAUAUUUCCACUGCAUUCUUGAGUCACCUUUUUAACUGUUCUCUAACUACAUGUAGCAACAUAAUUGCAGAGACUGCUCAGUUGAUGUGUGAAAUUUUAAAAGUAACUGUGGCUGUGCCACCAAAAGAUGAAUUCCAGUGGCACGUUUGCAUAUUCGGCAUUAGGUGAUUCACCUGAAGUCGUGCCAUGGCUGGCGAUAUUGCAAGUAGCCUGUAUUGCAUAGAGGCAUUUGUGCGUGUGACCUUGGCUCCAUCAAAGCGUGGCGGCCUUGGGAGUAAGUGCGGUCUUCUGUUUGGAAAUCCAGCAUUUUUUAUGCCACUCAGCCACUUCAUACUUUUCAGACACGGUCGUUGCCAUGUGAUCUACAUGCUGCACUUGUUUGCAUUGGCCAAACCUGCAGACUUCAACUUCAACACACUUUUUGUAAAUUAGCAAUGCACAUUCUUUUGCAACUUGUAUUCUUCAUUGAAGUGCUGAUUUACACUACGCAUUCUGAUGCAAGUUUUCAUCUUAUGGUAUUCCGAGAUAUUUGCAGUUCACUUAUGAUCUGUGUCAUAGAGUUGUGGUUAUUCUUCAAUGGCUGUUUGUUGUCCCUUUUCUUACUUAUAUUUUUUCACAAAAUAAACCACAUGCACUCAA